rnacentral:rRNA from 1 species
CAGUCGCCGCGGGAAUACAGAGGGUGCGAGCGUUAAUCGGAUUUACUGGGCGUAAAGCGUGCGUAGGCGGCUUCUUAAGUCGGAUGUGAAAUCCCUGAGCUUAACUUAGGAAUUGCAUUCGAUACUGGGAAGCUAGAGUAUGGGAGAGGAUGGUAAAAUUCCAGGUGUAGCGGUGAAAUGCGUAGAGAUCUGGAGGAAUACCGAUGGCGAAGGCAGCCAUCUGGCCUAAUACUGACGCUGAGGUACGAAAGCAUGGGGAGCAAACAGGAUUAGAUACCCGGGUAGUCCCUGUCUCUUAUAC